UUAUUACUCCCUCCGUUCGGAAUUACUUAUCGCAGAAGUGGAUGUAUCUAGACAUAUUUUAGUUCUAGAUACAUCCAUUUCCGAGACAAGUAAUUCCGAAC
rnacentral:pre_miRNA from 1 species